UUAAUUGAAGAGUUUGAUCAUGGCUCAGAUUGAACGCUGGCGGCAGGCCUAACACAUGCAAGUCGAACGGUAACAGGGAGCAGCUUGCUGCUCUGCUGACGAGUGGCGGACGGGUGAGUAAUGUCUGGGAAACUGCCUGAUGGAGGGGGAUAACUACUGGAAACGGUAGCUAAUACCGCAUAACGUCUACGGACCAAAGUGGGGGACCUUCGGGCCUCAUGCCAUCAGAUGUGCCCAGAUGGGAUUAGCUAGUAGGUGAGGUAACGGCUCACCUAGGCGACGAUCCCUAGCUGGUCUGAGAGGAUGACCAGCCACACUGGAACUGAGACACGGUCCAGACUCCUACGGGAGGCAGCAGUGGGGAAUAUUGCACAAUGGGCGCAAGCCUGAUGCAGCCAUGCCGCGUGUAUGAAGAAGGCCUUCGGGUUGUAAAGUACUUUCAGCGGGGAGGAAGGUGUUGUGGUUAAUAACCACAGCAAUUGACGUUACCCGCAGAAGAAGCACCGGCUAACUCCGUGCCAGCAGCCGCGGUAAUACGGAGGGUGCAAGCGUUAAUCGGAAUUACUGGGCGUAAAGCGCACGCAGGCGGUUGAUUAAGUCAGAUGUGAAAUCCCCGGGCUCAACCUGGGAACUGCAUUUGAAACUGGUCAGCUUGAGUCUCGUAGAGGGGGGUAGAAUU
rnacentral:rRNA from 1 species